ACGACUCGGGCGUGCCGACGGAACUAAUAGUUCCUGGAAGCGGGCUGGACAGUGCAUCCAAUCUACAACAGAAAUUAGAGCAUUGUGGUUGCAAAUUGUGAUCCAUUGUGGCCUCAUCGAUUUCAAACUUUCUUUUGACCGGCCCCAAGCAACUUGGCCUGAUCGCGAUAGGACUCAAGCUGCGCCUGUGGUUAUUAGAUGAAACAUUAGACAAAAUAAUAAAAACAAUAAUCACUUCCUAAACUUUAUUUGACCCGGACGAAGGUCUCUGCUGAUUCUGUCAUCGUCCUAAGUUCGGAGCACCAUCAUGCUCGGAUGAUGCUGCUCUCGGAUGAGGUAGGAAGAAAAACGGACGUACCUCGACGACGAUGUAGACGGCGUGGUGACGGACAUGGUCACACUGCUGAUCUCAUUAAUCAUCGGCGCGCUACUGGAUCGCUUCAAACUAACA